GAGUUUGUCUGAUGCAUAGACCCGCCACUGCGUGCUCAAGGCCCAAUUUUAUGAGGGAGUAACGGCAAAGAGUCCACCACAUUACUUGGGCCCAAUAUACAUUGAAUGACCCAUAUCCACUUAAAAGGCUAAGCCUUAUAAGUGGUGAGUCAUCCAAUUGUAUAUUAAAGUCCAACUCUUUUUCUGUUUAUCCGAUAGUUAUCUCAAUUGAGAGCCAACGUGCCUAGUCACCGGCACCAUGCUCCCCGACGAGAACUCCAUUGAGAGCCAAUGUGCUCAUUCACCAACACCAUGCUCCCCGACGAGUCAACUCCAUCGACAAUGAGCCAUCCAAUACAGCACUCCAACAUCGAGCCACCUUGCUUCAUCGAGAGUCACCUUUUUGGACUUUAUACCGCUCCACGAGUGUCUUCUGUGCAAACCCAUUCAAUGGUGCGCUGAGAGUUUUCCCAUAGAUCGUCAACCUAGCUUUGAUACCAUUUGUUGGGAGUUUGUCUGAUGCAUAGACCCGCCACUGCGUGCUCAAGGCCCAAUUUUAUGAGGGAGUAACGGCAAAGAGUCCACCACAUUACUUGGGCCCAAUAUACAUUGAAUGACCCAUAUCCACUUAAAAGGCUAAGCCUUAUAAGUGGUGAGUCAUCCAAUUGUAUAUUAAAGUCCAACUCUUUUUCUGUUUAUCCGAUGUGGGACUCAACGUUCACACAUGUUCUAACA